GAUGAACGCUGGCGGCGUGCCUAAUACAUGAAAGUCGAGCGAAGCGGGGACGGGUGAGUAACACGUGGAUAACCUCCCAUAAGACUGGGAGAACUUCGGGCAACCGGAGCUAAACCGGAUACUUCUAGAUGGAUCCGCGCUGCAUUAGCUAGUGGGUAAGGUAACGGCUUAGCAAGGCAACGAUGUAUAGCCGACCACAUAGGGUCAUCGUCCAAACGGGAACGGAUACACAGUCCAGACUCCUACGGCAGGCAGCAGUAGGGAAUCUACCGCUAGGGUCGAAAGCCUGACGGAGCAACGCCGCGUUUGUGAUGAAGGUCAUCUGUCCGUAAAACUCUGUUAUUAGGGUAGCGGUACCUAAUCAAGAAGCCACGGGUAACUACGGGCCAGCAGCCGCGGUAAUAC
rnacentral:rRNA from 1 species